rnacentral:rRNA from 1 species
UUUGUGUAAUGAACGUAAAAUACUAUAAUCAAUAAAACUUUCAACAACGGAUCUCUUGGCUCUCACAUCGAUGAAGAACGCAGCGAAAUGCGAUAAGUAAUGUGAAUUGCAGAAUUCAGUGAAUCAUCGAAUCUUUGAACGCACCUUGCACCUUUUGGUAUUCCGAAAGGUAUGCCUGUUUGAGUGUCUUGAAACCUCACACUCUAGAGUUUUCUCUAGAGACGUGGAUUUGGGUGUUGCAAUUUGCUCACCUUGAAUGACUUAGUGGUUCCUACCGUAGCCUGAUGUAAUAAGUUUCAUCUGGUCAAGGGAAGACUGCUUCUAAUCGCCUUACGGCACUAUUUAAGACUAGACCUCAAAUCAGGUAGGACUACCCGCUGAACUUAAGCAUAUCAAUAAGCGGAGGAAAAGAAACUAACCAGGAUUCCCCUAGUAACGGCGAGUGAACCGGGAAGAGCUCAAAUUUAAAAUCUGGCGUCCUCCGGGCGUCCGAGUUGUAAUCUAUAGAAGUGUUUUCCGUGGCGGACCGUGUCCAAGUUCCUUGGA